UACGUAGGGGGCAAGCGUUGUCCGGAAUCAUUGGGCGUAAAGCGCGUGUAGGCGGCUGAGUAAGUCUGCUCUGAAAGCCCGGGGCUCAACCCCGGGAGGCGGGUGGAUACUGCUCAGCUCGAGUCCGGAAGAGGAGUGUGGAAUUCCUGGUGUAGCGGUGAAAUGCGCAGAUAUCAGGAGGAACACCAAUGGCGAAGGCAGCACUCUGGGACGGUACUGACGCUGAGACGCGAAAGCGUGGGGAGCAAAAGGG
rnacentral:rRNA from 1 species